rnacentral:rRNA from 1 species
UACAGAGGGGGCAAGCGUUGUUCGGAAUUACUGGGCGUAAAGUGCGCGUAGGCGGCCUUCUAAGUCGAACGUGAAAUCCCCGGGCUCAACCCGGGAACUGCGUCCGAUACUGGAAGGCUUGAAUCCGGGAGAGGGAUGCGGAAUUCCAGGUGUAGCGGUGAAAUGCGUAGAUAUCUGGAGGAACACCGGUGGCGAAGGCGGCAUCCUGGACCGGUAUUGACGCUGAGGCGCGAAAGCCAGGGGAGCAAACGGG